UGUCUUGUCUGUCCUUCUCUCUCUCCUCUUUCCACGUGACUGUCUUGUCUGUCCUUCUCUCUCUCCUCUUUCCACGUGACUGUCUUGUCUGUCCUUCUCUCUCUCCUCUUUCCACGUGACUGUCUUGUUCCCUCCAUUCCUGUUUGAGGGAGGGACUCUUUUUAUUUUUUAUAGCUGACUAAUAUGUCAUGUAUCACAUACAACCAGGUACUUUCUACUAUUUACACCGACUUGGUGUUGAACAACUUGAAUUGUUUAGUUUGCGUACGUUGUUGUCCUGUGUGGUUGUUUGCUAGGAGAGCCUGUUUGAUAUUAGACCUGGGUUCAUAUAGUAUUUGACAUUUUAUAAAAAAUAAUUUCAGUGUUUGUUCUAGCCGGCCUGAAGUGCCAGAUGGGCGGGGUUUGCAGCGUUUAGACUCCAAUUGGUUCAUUAAUCCAGGCAAGAUCAAUCAAGCACAGUUUUAAGUCUUUGAAAUGAUUUCAAAUAGCAUUUGAACCCAGGUCCUUUUUUUUUUAGAUAGUUCUGUUUAUAUGCCACCAGGGCCGAUCCCAGCCCCCUCUAAACUGAACUGGCCUUCUGUCCCAAGUCCUUAGAGCAACAACUAGGAGAUAAGCCUAAAGCUGCUGUAGUAGUGUGUGUGUGUGUGUGUGUGCGUGUGCGUGUGCGUGUGCGCGUGCGCGUGCGUGUGUGUGUGUUGACUAAAGCCUCCUUUGGUGUUAGUAACAAAUGUUACCUCUUCACUACCCCAGUACAUUUCAUUUACACCAUCUUUACAUAAACUGCAAUAUCAGCAUUUAUAAAGGUUUGAGUUGGACCCUACAAUCAACCAGGAAACCUUCCCACAAAUUAAGUCUAGUCCUGGACUUAAAAACAUACUCAAUGGAGAAUCCAUAUUGAAAUAGCUUCUUAGUCCAGCACUAUCUUUCAUUUGUGUCCAGGAAGUUGGUGUGGAGCCUACUACACCGAGGUUCAACUUUAACCUCUCCGGUGAGAAUCAACAGGGACACAUCGAGUUUUAACGUUUUGAAUCCAAAGAUCAUUUUUAAUUGUAUUUAUUUUCUCUCUGAAUUGCCCCACCAGCCACAGGGUGGACAGACAGACAGACAGACAGUUGGUAGGAGAUAGUGUCUAGAUACCGCAGGGCCACAGGGUGGACAGACAGACAGACAGUUGGUAGGGGAUAGUGUCUAGAUACCGCAUGGGUGGACAGACAUACAGACAGACAGUUGGUAGGAGAUAGUGUCUAGAUACCACAAGGCCACAGGGUGGACAGACAGACAGACAGACAGUUGGUAGGAGAUAGUGUCUAGAUACCGCAUGGGUGGACAGACAUACAGACAGACAGUUGGUAGGAGAUAGUGUCUAGAUACCACAAGGCCACAGGGUGCACAGACAGACAGUUGGUAGGAGAUAGUGUCUAGAUACCACAAGGCCACAGGGUGGACAGACAGACAGACAGACAGUUGGUAGGAGAUAGUGUCUAGAUACCGCAUGGGUGGACAGACAUACAGACAGACAGUUGGUAGGAGAUAGUGUCUAGAUACCACAAGGCCACAGGGUGCACAGACAGACAGUUGGUAGGAGAUAGUGUCUAGAUACCACAAGGCCACAGGGUGGACAGACAGACAGACAGACAGACAGUUGGUAGGAGAUAGUGUCUAGAUACCGCAUGGGUGGACAGACAUACAGACAGACAGUUGGUAGGAGAUAGUGUCUAGAUACCACAAGGCCACAGGGUGCACAGACAGACAGUUGGUAGGAGAUAGUGUCUAGAUACCACAAGGCCACAGGGUGGACAGACAGACAGACAGACAGUUGGUAGGAGAUAGUGUCUAGAUACCGCAUGGGUGGACAGACAUACAGACAGACAGUUGGUAGGAGAUAGUGUCUAGAUACCACAAGGCCACAGGGUGCACAGACAGACAGUUGGUAGGAAAUAAAUAGACAGUGCCAGACAGACAGUUGGUAGGAAAUAGAUAGACAGUGCCUAGAUACCUUCCUCUAAAGCCAGGAACACAUUUAGAAUGAGUCCCAAAUGGCACCCUAUUCUCAUAGGGUCCUGGUCAAAGUAGUGCACUAUAAACUGAAUAGGCUGCCAUUUGGGAUGCAUACUUAGCCUUUUUUUUUUUUUUUAAGUUUCUGUCAAAUCUGAGGUGUGCCAAUUUGGGAUUUAUCUCACCACUUGAGGUUUGAAAACGUCUGACAAUCGUAGAUGUUUGUGAAGCACUACUUUGAGGUGUUACUAACAUUUGAUACAGGAUCAAAGUUGAAAUGUACCUGCAGGAAAUCAACUGUAUAUGUUUCUAAUAUAUGAGAAAGGAAGUCAAACUCAAUAGGACUUUUCUAUUGAGAGAAUGAGUCGAUAGAUUAUUAUUAUUAUUAGCUUAUCAGCACCGUGUACUCUCACUGAGGACCUAUAAGAAGCAGUUUCACCUUUGUCCCGCCCCCUUCUCACCAGUCACACACCUUUUCUCGUAUGAUUGACACUGCAGCUAUCCACUCCCAACACUCCAUCCACAACGUUAAAGCCCAACACUAAUUACAAGAGGACUGGGGUCCGUUCAAGAGGGGGCGAUGUUCUGACAAAAUGUUUCUGAUUUAGAAAUGAGACGAGUGGACAUGAUUCUGUCCCAGAGGCCAGUCUAUUCUACACAAGGUAGAAGUAUUCAUUAGGUACUGAACGGAAGAACAACAGACUGCAACGGGAAGAGACUACCUGGGCUCCAAUAAGAAGCGUUUUUUAAAACGUUUUUAAAAACGUUUUCAGUUGCAUGCCCUAAUGAGUGCAACCCUGUCAACUAACGUGUCCAUUUGUUACAAUGCUGUGUUGUCAGGUAUGUAAUGUCAAUGCUCCUAUCAAACCUAAAGGGUUGAAUGAAUGUGUUGUCAGGUAUGUCAUGUCAAUGCUCCUAUCAAACCUAAAGGGUUGAAUGAAUGUGUUGUCAGGUAUGUCAUGUCAAUGCUCCUAUCAAACCUAAAGGGUUGAAUGAAUGUGUUGUCAGGUAUGUCAUGUCAAUGCUCCUAUCAAACCUAAAGGAUUGAAUGAAUGUGUUGUCAGGUAUGCAAUGUCAAUGCUCCUAUCAAACCUAAAGGGUUGAAUGAAUGUGUUGUCAGGUAUGUCAUGUCAAUGCUCCUAUCAAACCUAAAGGGUUGAAUGAAUGUGUUGUCCCAUAGCGUGUUGCUGUAGAAGGUGAUUUGACCCAUCUGUUGUUGUCUGAAAGCUUCUAAUGGGGAAGGUUGUUUGGUAACACGUUACGUAAGAGCCAACUGGUAUAAUGCCUUAUAACUUGUUAUAAGCAUGUAUGCACCUUUUAUAAAAGUGUCACAGGCACUACAUGUUCAUUCACUUUCUAUGGAGUGAUUGGCACUGCUCCAAUUCCAGACAUAUAGUACUCCUUCAUCAUGGGUAGUACUCCUUCAUCAUGGGUAACACUCCUUCAUCAUGGGUAACACUCCAUCAUGGGUAACACCGACCAGUAUAAUGCCUUAAACUUGCUAUGAGCUUAUGUGAGCAUAUUAUAAAGUGAAUCAUCUGAUUCUA